AGUGAACGCUGGCGGUAGGCCUAACACAUGCAAGUCGAACGGCAGCACAGGAGAGCUUGCUCUCUGGGUGGCGAGUGGCGGACGGGUGAGGAAUACAUCGGAAUCUACUCUGUCGUGGGGGAUAACGUAGGGAAACUUACGCUAAUACCGCAUACGACCUACGGGUGAAAGCAGGGGACCUUCGGGCCUUGCGCGAUUGAAUGAGCCGAUGUCGGAUUAGCUAGUUGGCGGGGUAAAGGCCCACCAAGGCGACGAUCCGUAGCUGGUCUGAGAGGAUGAUCAGGCACACUGGAACUGAGAAACGGUCCAGACUCCUACGGGAGGCAGCAGUGGGGAAUAUUGGACAAUGGGCGCAAGCCUGAUCCAGCCAUACCGCGUGGGUGAAGAAGGCCUUCGGGUGGUAAAGCCCUUUUGUUGGGAAAGAAAUCCAGCUGGCUAAUACCCGGUUGGGAUGACGGUACCCAAAGAAUAAGCACCGGCUAACUUCGUGCCAGCAGCCGCAGUAA
rnacentral:rRNA from 1 species